rnacentral:tRNA from 1 species
GGCAAGAUGGCCGAGUGGUUAAGGCGGUGGCCUGCUAAGCCAUUGGGUUCUGCCCGCGUGAGUUCGAAUCUCAUUCUUGUCG